GGGGGUGUACCGUUGCUGGGUGUGUAUGUUGUGGUGUCUUGGUGUUGUGGGAGUGUAUGGGCACGUUUUGGUGUGUGUCCAUUGUGUCUGUGUGUCCGAGGGGCUGUUGGCCUGUAGCUGUUGGGUUGUGUGUUUGAGGGGAUGUAGGCGUGUCAGUGUGUAGGUGCUGGGGGUGCACUGGGGGUCAGUGACAGCGUGCUGUGGGUGCAGGUGUCUGUCUGAUGGGGUGCAGCUGCUGUGUCUGAGCAGGUGUUGGAGUGUUGCUGUUGGGAUUGUAUCAGGAUAUGUGAAGAUUUGUUGCAGGGUAGGUGUUGGCACUGGGUUGUGGUGUGUGUGGCAGGGUGUUGUUGUCAGGGUGACGGGGUUGUGUCAGUCUGUGUAGGUGUUGAGGUGAUGGGGUAUAAAUGUGUGCAUGCCAGGAGGCAUAGGUGUCAGGUCAGAAUGUGAUCGGGUGUAGCUGUCAGCGUGGAGAUGCUGUCAAAAUGUCCAUGAUGUGGUGUCAGUGUUAGUGUGUGCAGCUGAUGGGACAUUGGGUCAGGGCAUGACGGGGUGUAUGGGGGUGUUGGUACAUAAAUGUCAAUGUGUGUAGAUGGGAUGAGGUGUAGUUGUUGGUCGGUAGAUGUCACUGUCGGGGUGUGUGACAUGGUGUAGGUGAUGUGUGUGGUGAGGGGUAAGGGACGGGGUGUAUGUCAACGUGUGUAGAUGGGGUGAGGUGUAGCUGCUGGUCAGUAGGUGUGUGACAUGGUGCAGGUGAUGUGUGUGGUGAGGGGUAAGGGACGGGGUGUAUGUCAACGUAUGUGGAUGGGGUGAGGUGUAGCUGCUGGUCGGUAGGUGUGUGACAUGGUGCAGGUGAUGUGUGUGGUGAGGGGUAAGGGACGGGGUGUAUGUCAACGUGUGUAGAUGGGAUGAGGUGUAGCUGUUGGUCAGUAGGUGUGUGACAUGGUGCAGGUGAUGUGUGUGGUGAGGGGUAAGGGACGGGGUGUAUGUCAACGUGUGUAGAUGGAGUGAGGUGUAGCUGCUGGUCAGUAGGUGUGUGACAUGGUGCAGGUGAUGUGUGUUGUGAGGGGUAAGGGACGGGGUGUAUGUCAACGUAUGUAGAUGGGGUGAGGUGUAGC